rnacentral:rRNA from 1 species
UACGAAGGGGGCUAGCGUUGCUCGGAAUCACUGGGCGUAAAGGGUGCGUAGGCGGCUUUUUAAGUCAGGGGUGAAAUCCUGGAGCUCAACUCCAGAACUGCCUUUGAUACUGAAGAUCUUGAGUUCGGGAGAGGUGAGUGGAACUGCGAGUGUAGAGGUGAAAUUCGUAGAUAUUCGCAAGAACACCAGUGGCGAAGGCGGCUUACUGGUCCGGAACUGACGCUGAGGUGCGAAAGCGUGGGGAGCGAACAGG